ACUCUACGGGAGGCAGCAGUGGGGAAUAUUGCACAAUGGGCGCAAGCCUGAUGCAGCCAUGCCGCGUGUAUGAAGAAGGCCUUCGGGUUGUAAAGUACUUUCAGCAGUGAGGAAGGUGGAUAUGUUAAUAGCAUAUUCAUUUGACGUUAGCUGCAGAAGAAGCACCGGCUAACUCCGUGCCAGCAGCCGCGGUAAUACGGAGGGUGCGAGCGUUAAUCGGAAUUACUGGGCGUAAAGCGCAUGCAGGUGGUUUGUUAAGUCAGAUGUGAAAGCCCGGGGCUCAACCUCGGAAUUGCAUUUGAAACUGGCAAACUAGAGUACUGUAGAGGGGGGUAGAAUUUCAGGUGUAGCGGUGAAAUGCGUAGAGAUCUGAAGGAAUACCGGUGGCGAAGGCGGCCCCCUGGACAGAUACUGACACUCAGAUGCGAAAGCGUGGGGAGCAAACAGGAUUAGAUACCCUGGUAGCUACGAG
rnacentral:rRNA from 1 species